rnacentral:hammerhead_ribozyme from 1 species
ACCCAGCUGACGAGUCCUAAGUAGGACGAAACGCGCGUCCUGUAU